CCUACGGGUGGCAGCAGUCGAGAAUCAUUCACAAUGGGGGAAACCCUGAUGGUGCGACGCCGCGUGGGGGAAUGAAGGUCUUCGGAUUGUAAACCCCUGUCAUGUGGGAGCAAAUUAAAAAGAUAGUACCACACGAGGAAGAGACGGCUAACUCUGUGCCAGCAGCCGCGGUAAUACAGAGGUCUCAAGCGUUGUUCGGAAUCACUGGGCGUAAAGCGUGCGUAGGCUGUUUCGUAAGUCGUGUGUGAAAGGCGCGGGCUCAACCCGCGGACGGCACAUGAUACUGCGAGACUAGAGUAAUGGAGGGGGAACCGGAAUUCUCGGUGUAGCAGUGAAAUGCGUAGAUAUCGAGAGGAACACUCGUGGCGAAGGCGGGUUCCUGGACAUUAACUGACGCUGAGGCACGAAGGCUAGGGGAGCGAAAGGGAUUAGAUACCCUUGUAGUC
rnacentral:rRNA from 1 species